GUCAUUAUUAUUUAUCCUCUUGGAGUUUUUGUGUAUACUAUUUACUUUAGAGUACAGAUCACCACUGAACAGAAGAUGUUAUACGUUCACAGUAAACAAAAAUGCAGAUUAGGUGCUGGAUUUCAGUUCACAGAUAGAAAUUCACUUGUCAGUCACCCUGGGGAUGCUUAUACAAAAACCCCAUGGUUUGCACAAAUAGUGUCAGUUUAAAGUUUUUAGAUAGCCAUUUUAUAUAUGAC
rnacentral:lncRNA from 1 species